AUUGAACGCUGGCGGCAUGCUUUACACAUGCAAGUCGAACGGCAGCGCGGGCUUCGGCCUGGCGGCGAGUGGCGAACGGGUGAGUAAUACAUCGGAACGUGCCCAGUAGUGGGGGAUAGCUCGGCGAAAGCCGGAUUAAUACCGCAUACGACCUGAGGGUGAAAGCGGGGGAUCUUCGGACCUCGCGCUAUUGGAGCGGCCGAUGGCAGAUUAGCUAGUUGGUGGGGUAAAGGCCUACCAAGGCGACGAUCUGUAGCUGGUCUGAGAGGACGACCAGCCACACUGGGACUGAGACACGGCCCAGACUCCUACGGGAGGCAGCAGUGGGGAAUUUUGGACAAUGGGCGAAAGCCUGAUCCAGCAAUGCCGCGUGUGUGAUGAAGGCCUUCGGGUUGUAAAGCACUUUUGGCGGGAACGAAAAGGACUGUGCCAAUACCACGGUUCGAUGACGGCACCCGCAGAAUAAGCACCGGCUAACUACGUG
rnacentral:rRNA from 1 species